CACCGUCCUUUUCUCUACAGGUUGACCGGAGCAAAACACCAAACCACAACUCGCGCCGGAGGAGCCGCCGCACCCGACAGCUCCGCUACCGGUAAGCCUCGAUUUUCUGUAAUUUUUUGGCCAACCGAGGGCCUAGAGGUGUUUUAUCACAGGAACCAAUGCAAGUUUGGCCGAAUUCGGCCGAAAACGGCUAGAAACGGCCAACCCAAAGCGGAUCGCCGCUGCGGGCACGGCGCUGUCGCCAGAGCAUGGCGGAGCCGCCGUGCCGAAAUUUCAAAAUUGGCCGAAAGGGCCCUGGGUCUGAUUUGAGGUUUUUUGGGGACAUGUACAGGUACCGGAAGUGUGUUUCAAUUUUCGAAAAAAAAUUCAGAGAAUCUAAGGACGGGCCGUAGACGCAGUGAGAACCCGAUUUCAGACUUCGAAAUAAGUAAGGAUCUCUCACCCUAUUUCCUAUUACGACAUUAAAGCUUAAUAAAUGAUAAAACAGUAUUUAUGAAUUAAU
rnacentral:lncRNA from 1 species